AUUGAACGCUGGCGGCAGGCCUAACACAUGCAAGUCGAACGAGUGGCGGACGGGUGAGUAAUGUCUGGGAAACGGCCCGAUGGAGGGGGAUAACUACUGGAAACGGUAGCUAAUACCGCAUACCAUCGGAUGUGCCCAGAUGGGAUUAGCUAGUAGGUGGGGUAACGGCUCACCUAGGCGACGAUCCCUAGCUGGUCUGAGAGGAUGACCAUCCACACUGGAACUUAGACACGGUCCAGACUCCUCCGGGAGGCAGCAGUGGGGAAUAUUGCACCAUGGGCGCAAGCCUUAUAGAGCCAUGCCGGCUGGAAGAAGAAGGCCUUCGGGGUGUAAAGUACUUUCAGCGAGGAGGCGUUACUCGCAGAAGAAACACCGGCUAACUCCGGGCCAGCAGCCGCGGUAAUAC
rnacentral:rRNA from 1 species